rnacentral:rRNA from 1 species
CACGUAGGGGGCAAGCGUUGUCCGGAUUUAUUGGGCGUAAAGAGCUCGUAGGUGGUUCGGUAAGUCGGGUGUGAAACCUCCAGGCUCAACCUGGAGACGCCACCCGAUACUGCUGUGACUGGAGUCCGGUAGGGGAGCGUGGAAUUCCUGGUGUAGCGGUGAAAUGCGCAGAUAUCAGGAGGAACACCAGCGGCGAAGGCGGCGCUCUGGGCCGGUAAUGACACUGAGGAGCGAAAGCGUGGGUAGCAAACAGG